GCCACAUCCCUGAGCCCGGGCUAUGUGGGACAGGACUGAAAUGUGUCUAAGGGGAGGGCCUACUUUACGUCACUCAGGGGUCAGGAGUGCACAGAUGGAGAUGCCAGUACCCGCCCAAAUCCCCCAAAACAGAGAAAGGGAGAGGCUGGGAAGCCCUUCAACCAGAGGCUGAGGACAUGGAAUCCCCAGGGAGUGCCUGCUGCUCAUGGUAGAAGUGGCCAGAUCUCGAUGCGGCACCUAGCUCUCCUACAUCUCCAGGCCUUUGGGGAAGAAUUGAGACAGGAGUCACCGGCGGCACCCCUCCCCUGAAGUGCUUCUGAACAGUGAGAACGUGAAGAUCUCGCCGGUGCUGGGUUGCUUUCUAAGGAAUGCAGGCAACAGACACAGUUCAAGGUUUCCAGAGGACCUUGCACUGGGAUGUUUGAAAUGAAGAAUCCAGCAAGACAGGAGCAAAGGAGCUCACAAUGAAGGGAAAUGUGGACGAGGCUAGAGGCCUGGAAGGUGGCAGUUACUGGGGUCUGUCACUUGUGUAAUCAAAUAGCGAUGGGGAGGAUCCCAACAAAGUCCCUUGGGACCAGAACACAGGAGCAUGGCUCCCUUCUUAGCUGUGGCUGGCAGAUCAAGGCUGAAGAGGUCUCAGUGGUUUAUCUCCCGGCCCCAGUGAUGACUGUGAUGAGUGUGGAUGGGUCUCCCUCCACCACUUUUGAGGUUCUGCCUGCAAAUCUUACCAGUCUCAAGAAUUUCAGGCCGUCCUUGUCCUGGGCGAUGACAAUAAGUUGAACGAUCAUGACUCACAUUCACGUGAUGCUAUGUUACAUGAAUAUGUGGAUGGAUGGACUCAGGAAAUGUAUUCCUUACAGUUACUCUAUGAUGACUAUCGUCAUUCUACAGAUGAGGAAACAGGCCUAGACAGGUUAAAAAACUUGCUCAAGGUCACGUAACAGGUAAGUGGUUGGCGUGCCUGUGUGGCAGUGCCACCGGGUGGUCAUGAGCACAGCCUCAGGGGCCAUCUCAUGCCCCCUGCUCCUGUGGCUUCCUGUGUUCAGUGCACAGGUUGGAUGGGGCCGCCUUGGCGGUUUCUUCCAGCAUCUUCCAGGGGCAGCGCCUCCCGCUCAUCCUGCAGGUGUUUGUUGAACAAUGCUUGUGCCAGGCAUGGUUCCAGGUACUAGGGAUGCAGAUGCAGCUGUGCCCCAGUUCCUGCCCCCAUGGACCUGACACUCGCAGUCAAAGACACGCAACAAGCAAGAAGUCAAAGCGAC
rnacentral:lncRNA from 10 species